ensembl:snoRNA SNORA74 Small nucleolar RNA SNORA74
UCCAGCGAUAGUCAGCUGUCUUUCAAUACUGUGUCUGUGACAGUGUUACACUGCUGGGAGAUAAAAGUACACUCUUUUUUUAGCUGUGUGUCAUUGCCUGCGUUCUGGAGGUGACUGGCACCAGUGUGGGGCAGUGCUGUGCUUCUCUGAGAGUGUGCAGAGCAGAUAACCAUCCUGCUCAGCACUAGUCUGGAAGCAUACACA